UCCUCCGGAAGCUUGAGGGUACCAGCUCCAGGUCUUGAAACUGUCACUAUCUUUUCCAAGCUUGACCCCCCCGAGCCGAGCGGCCUGUGCCGGUCCGUGCGUGGCUUGUGGUUUGAACCCCUAACUCUCCGAGCCUGUGGUUGCAUCAAGUCCUAACCUGCAACCCGAUCGCAGAAAUCAGUGUGUCUCCACGGGACCUAAUUGUGACGCGAAUCCCACGGUUCCCUGGACUCCCUCCUGGGCUUAACUCCUCUCCGAGCUACUCAGGGAAGUCACCCAAAUUAGUUUUCACCGAUUUUUAGAAGAUGGUGGGCAAGAUUGGGGAAUAAGCUGAGGGCAAAGGAAGUCUACAAAUCGACCUCUGUUUGGGGGAGAUCGUGUGCUUUGGGAGCUGAAUGUUAAAGAAUUUGGGUGCAUUUGAGACUCAGCGCUUGCUACAAAGAUUAAUCCGUCAGCUCUGCUCAAAGCCCAACCUUGACCUGGAUUCCUUCUCCUAUUUGGCCCCGGGCUCUGACCACUAUCACAGGAGCACGGCCUUGGCUAACGAGCCCUCGCUGGCCUGGGCGGCUGCUGGACUCUGCCCUCGGGAACUGUGACCCUCCAGUGGCUGGAGGGACCAGGGUGUGGAUGGAGGGGCCGGCGAGGUCGCGACGAGUGUGUCCCAGACUCGGGCUGGCUCCAGACCGUUUCUUCCCACCUGGGAGCUGGCAGUUUCCGCUGAGUUUUUAAAAAAAUAUACAGAGUUGUCUUUCUGUCUGCUCUUGUUAGAAGUUGCCAUCCCCUUCUCUCUGGGGCCGCUUUCACCUUUGUGACUGGGUUUGGGUCCCUGAUCUUUCUGUAGGAGGGGUUACUGUUCGAUUCACCAGAAUCUCGCCGUUGGUGGUGGUGUUGAGUGUUGAGUGCCCAGGAAAGCAGGGUCCUGGGGCCGCCGUGGGUUCCCACACCCCAGGGCGGAUCGGCACGAGCUGGCUCGGAAAUCCAGGAAAUCUGGCAGCGCAGCCCUGCUGGGACUCACGGCGCCCCUUCAGGACUCUCUGCCAGAGCCACUCCCGCUCCGUCCUGGGGCCCCGGGCAGGCCUGGAGAGGCUGCGGGAGCCGGCUUAGAGGGGCACAGGGCUGCAAUCUUGACCUUAACGCGCAUUAGCUGUGCAGCCUCGGUCAAGGUAGGCACCUCUCUGGGCCCACAUUUACUCCUCUGUAAACUGAAGCUCAGAGUCUCUCCUUCUGGAGGGUGAUUGUGAAGAUCGGAUGAGAGCCUCUGCACACUUCCUAGCCUAGGAUCUCGUCGACGGUUGCAAUAAGUGCCCAGUAACGGACUCUUCGCUUAGAGAGCAGAAGAGAGAAGGAGGCAGGAAGCAGUGAAUGGUGGCGAGGAAACGGCAAAAAUAUCAGCAGAACAAAUGCAGGAAGUGACCCUUAACCUCGAGCCUUAGGUAUAGUGUCUGUUUGCGUGAGGGAUGCAAGCAGAAACAGCUUGCUUUUGGAGCCACCGGGGGCAUCGGGAAAACCGCUUCUGAGAGCAGGGGCAGCGCCGCCUACAGCAGUAGGAACGAGGGCGCUUGAUUUGUACAAAGGUCUCAAGGCCCUCGUAGGGGAGAUGCCAGCUGCUGCCUACAUACAGUGUUCGUGGCUGGACUUCUCCUUUCUUUCUCUGAGGCAAAGAGCAGUUUUCUCAGUUUAGAACUUGGAGCUGAUGGCUGGGAAUGACAGGGUUCUUUAAACAUUUUUCUCUCCCUCGAUGGAACAUCUGUCCCCAUCUCAACUCACAGGCUCCCCUAGAAGCGUCCAGCCCUCUUGGAAUUUCUCGUUACAAUUCCAACCAUCCCAGCUGUCGCUUCCAAGCACCACUAUUUUUGCUGACAAGGGUCCGAGUGCCUGGGGACCUCUUUCAUGUUGAGUCCACGCCCUUGUGCUGGUUACACAGUGGCCCUGAGCUGAGUCAGGCCUGCAGAGCAGUGUGUGUGUGUGUGUGUGUGUGUGUUGAGGUGAGGGUGUUGACCACCCAGCUCCAGGACCCAGCAUUCCCCCCACCCGGCUCUGUUCCCAUCCAAGAAGGUAGCUUCGUGGCUUCAAGGCAGCUUGGAGGAGAGAGAUUUUGCCUUGAAAAGCAUUUCCUGUCCAUUAGUGAAAUCUCUCCACUCUCUCCCUCUUUCUCCCUCAGACCCAGUGUAGCUUUUUUCAACUGAUCUCAACCAGGAAGGCUGAGUUUUAAGUCUACUCAUUUAUUUUCAGACAGAUUCCUUUAUGGAUGCCUCCUAGUGGUUUGGAGAAGGCGCAUUCUUGCUAAGCACUGUCUCUGGGCAGGGUGUGCGGGGUAUCAAUCUGAAAAGAGGUGGUGGGGUAUGCGUGGGCACGGCUGUGUGUUAAUCAUCUUCUUUCUCCUUUCCCUUCCGCAAGGCUCUAAUUUUGUAUCUCAGAACGAAGAUAGAAGAGGGCGUGGCAGACACACACACACACACCCAACGUGUCUUCUCUUGAACAUUUCUAGCACGGCGCUGCUAUUUUUAAAGGGCACAUGGAUCUCUGCAGUGGCUGAACAAUGCGGGGAGCUAUUUGUGCCCAGCCCCGGCUUAACACAGGCCUGCCUGGGAUGCCAGCGUUUUCAACUCCAAAGGGAAAGCACGUGCUCACCCACAAAUGCUUGCCUGGGCGGGGGGAGAGCUCCAGCUGCAGGGGAGUUAGCUGCGUAAGCUCCGACCUGGGGGAGUCUUCUCUUGGCAAAUGGGAGGCCACGGAGGGUCACUGGGCCCCGCUGCAGCCUCUUGAUGACAAUUAGAAAAAGGAAGCAGGAUGCAACCCAUAGGACGGAGGUCCUGGGGGGUCCUGACAACAGCAGUCAGCCUCUGCUCCUGUCCUAUUUCCUGCCUUUCCCUCCCAUCCCAGCCUCUCUGCCUCACUCUGAGUGAGAAUGUCUUAGAAUAGACCGUCUCUCUCGCUUCCCGUUGUUUGACAUCCCAUCAGAAAAGCACAGGGGAAUUGUGUUAGUCUGUUCGGGCUGCCGGGACAAAACACCCCGGACUGGGAGGCUUGAACCGCGGACAUUUCUUUUGUCAGUUACCGCAGGCUGGAAACCCAAGGUCAAUGUCGGCAGGUUGGCGUCUGCAGCAGGCCCCCUCCCGGGCUUGCAGACGGCUGCCUUCUCGCUGUGUCUCUCACGGCCUUUUCCCUGUGCAGGUGUCCCCCCGGCGUCCGUGCCUCUUCUCACGAGAACACCAGCCCACCCUUAUGACCUCAUUCAACCUUCAUCACUGCCUUAAAGGUCCUACGUCCACACACAGUCACACUGGAGAUUAGGGCUUCGGCAUAGGAAUUUGGGGGGAACACUAUCCAGUCCAGGCAGGGGUGGUCCUGAGCUCACACGUGGACACAGCACAGCCCACAGAUGCCCCCUGCCCCCUGCGUGAAUGUGGGCACGCUCCCAUGGAGGCCCUAGCACACCAUGGCCGAGGCACACGGGCACUUACACUGGCUGAGGCGACCAGCGGGGGGCACACGCGGUAGGACGUCCGGGGACGCCAGCACUGGGCAGGACCCAGAAAGGGCACCUUUGCCCUUUAACCGGAACCCUGAAUGGCCUGGAGGUUGGGUGUGGAGCAGAUGUUCCCGGGCUGGACGGAGCGGGAACAGGAGGGAUCCGAGCCAGGCCGAGCCAACCCUGGACCUCGCCCCUGCCUCCUCCCGAGGGCUCCGUGUGUCCUGAACGGGCAGCCGAAACCCUGAGGGAGGGGACGCCUUCCGCCAGCCGCAGGUCUGGGCCCCCCGCCAAGUCAACGUGGGCACCCCCAUCCCUGAAGGCACCAGCUCUGCGGGUCCCGGGGGCGCCCGGGGAAGCCUGCCUCGCGCCCUCCCCAUGCGGGAGGGGAGCCUGGAGGUCAGCCCCGCGCCCCGCCGCCGUCGGGGAUCCGAGGAGAAGCCAGCGAGAGGCGCUGCCUGGAGCCUCUGGUCAAAGACAGUCACCUGGCCUCGCCCCGCAGAGCUGCUGCCCUUGGGGGGAAGGAAUCAGAUGGAAAGAAAUAGAGUCCUGCCCCCUCCCACCCUACCGAGCGGGGUACCCCUCCGGGCUGGGGGCUCAAGAGAAACGCCUGGCCUGCGUUACCGCUGACGGCCAGCAGGGGGCGUUGCCUGAGGGCGGACGGGCGGUGAGGUUUCUGGUCAUCACAUCAUCUCCUGCAGGGAAGACGGUAAGAUACUGCAGAACAUUGAAAUAGCUGUCUUAGGAACAGAGUCUUAAAUGCUCCCGUAAGUCUCCGAGAAUCUCAGGAUGCGUCGGAGGGUUACGUUCCUAAUUCUUCUUGUUUUCUCCCAGCGUCUACCUCUUGCAUUUCCAAAGAUGGAGUCUAACGGAGCUCCUGUUAUCGCUCGGAGUAAACGCCGAAGUCCUCCUAAGGGCCGCAAAGCACUGUCCUGGAGCACCUCUGAGCACACCCACAAGGACCCCCGUGGGCCCCCCACUCUAGACGCUGGGUCCCUGCCAUGCCCGAAUGGCAGGUGUGCGUCAUCCCAGGGCCUGUGCGCUUGCUGUGUCCUUUCCUGGGAGCCCCCAAGCCCAGAUGUCCGCACGGCUUCCCCCUCCACUCCCUCAGGUCAUGUUCAAAGGUCCGCUUCUCAGUGGCGCCCCGGCCGCCUGUCUGAACUCUCACUCAGGCUCCCGCAGCCCCAGCUCUUCUGCAGCACUUCCCACACCGAACAUCUCUGCAUCUUCCUUAUUUAUCGUGAGUCUUUUCCCCAUUAGAUUCUAAGCUCCACGUCUGGUUGGUUCCUCGCAGCACCUCCAGGGCCCAGAAUGGCGGCUAGCAGAUGCAUAAACAGUUGUUGAAUAAGAAUGCGUCCUUUUAAGUUAAAAGCCCAUUUCUCUCUGUGAUGGAUGCAGAAGGCCAGCGUUGUUGGAAGGACUGCCCUGCGGACUGGGAUUGUUACCGAAAGUGGGUCCGGGCGCUCACCGCUCAACAGCCAAUAAAGAAGCAAGAUCACAUCCUGCUGGGACGAUGGAAACUCCCCCUUUCUUCUCCCUGGGGCUGUGGCUUAUAUCACCCAAGUCCCAGGGGGCUGACAUUCCACCAAGGAGCCAGGUGGCGGGUAGCAUCUGGCCGAACUGUCAUCUGCUCACAUCAGCAACCCCCAGGAUGUUCAGCAUCUCAUCUCGGCCUUUGCCCUUGGUCCACGCAGGUAGUGCGGUGAGAUCCUGUGUUCCCCUUCACGUGCCCCGGCGUCCUGGGGGCUGUGUUACUUCCACAGCACUCAGGGUCACAGAGGCAAGUUGCUCCUUCCGUUUCAUGCUGGAUGAGCAUGACAAAGGCCCAGGGUUGACCCAUUGCAGGGACCGCUGUUCUGCUCCCAAGGGCUCUGCCUGGGAAGCAGGGGGCAGGAUGUCACCCAGCUUUCUGAGACCCGCCGGGGUCUGAUAAUCUCAUAACGUGUCCUCUGUAAAAUCAGAGUUUUCUCUGGCUGGUGGCAGAAGGAGAAGUCACAGAGAUUCAAAGCACGAAGAGGAGUCCACGUAUGCUGUUGGUUUUGAAGAUGAAGGAGCUGAGAGACCCCUCAGUGCCCCGCUGCAAGGACCUGGAUCCAGCCAACGACCUGAAAGAACUCAGGGUGGAUCCUUUCCAGAGGCCCCAAGAAGAGCCCGCCUGAACAACACCUAGAUCUCAGCUUGGAGACCUUGAGCAGAGCGCCCAGGGGCACCACGGGACAUUUGCCCUGCAGGGCUGGGAGUCUGUGAAUGGCGGCUGUAUGAAGCACCUAAGUCUGUGAUGACCUGUGACACAGCAACAGAAAAUGAAUAUGGGGACAAAAGUCACCGUGCCUGACGCUGAGAAGGCACUUAGCAAAUUCCACGUGAUUUCCUCUCCUUUUUGCCUCUUGAUGUUUUGUAGACAGACUGUGCAGCAACAGGGCUCAGCAACGGAUUCUUCAAAUGCAUUUCUCAGCCUUUCUCACCACUCAGAUGAGGCCCAUGGACCAGAAGUGGAAGUGAUGGGUGCUCUUUCUGAGCUGAGGCGAUUAAAAUUGGGGGCUUCGUCACCUCUUUCUUCUACUUUGCUGGGGAGCACGUGCUCUAGAUAGUGCAGCUCCCAGAGCCCCAGCUCCAUCCACCAGGCCCUGAGUGUCUGCAUGGAGCCGAGGGCCCGCCCACCUGUGUCACUCGUGCUUUACAUUUGUCAUGGUGGCAGCGAGUCUUGCCCUGGUUAACACACAUGCGGUCACCCCGUGAACACUGCUGUUGAAGCUUACAAAACAAAGGAGAAGGAACGCUUCAUUUCAGAAGCUCCUUUAAAUAGCAGCCUCUUCACUGUAGUUAAGUUUUUCUUUAUAGGUCACUGUGAUUGAUAAGGAAGGGAAGGGUGGCCAGAGGAAAGGGUUUGGAAGCAUUGCCAAGAGAAAAUCAAACAAUGAAGAGAGAGCCAUCACUAAAAUAAGUCAGUGGGGAAAUAUUCGUUCUCUAAAGUCUAUCCACAGAUGUUUUCCUAUAACCUUGGGCUUCUUCUAAAGAGUCAAGCUCAUUUCUGGCCCAUCAUCACUGUCUGAUGGCCUGAUCUCUGGCAUCAGUAUUGACCUUACCCCGCGAACAUGUUGUUUCCACCUUCUCCCUACAGGUUUCUCUGGCUGCAGCUGUCUCUGGGCCCCUGUGAGCUCCACACAGACAGCGACCUUCUAGGAGAUCAACAGGCCAAUUCACUCCCUGCCCGAAAGCCUUAGGAAACAGCCAGACCCCACAGCACAAUGUAAGCUCCGUGGGAGGUUCAGAACGCUGACGGGUCUGAGGUUUUACCCUCCUCACUAGCUACUGGCUAGCCUGCCCCAGCUGGCAGAAGACACGAGACGCCUGGGUCAGAGACAGAGACGCAGCAGCUCAGGCGGCAGCAGCGGCUUCAGGGGCUUGUCCCUCAGCUGCCCUCGCCCGUCAGGCUCAGGUGGACACUGCACAGGCAAGGCUGGCGUCACAGCUCAGGAACCCUGUGCUUAAGGAACCCCAGUCAUUUAUCACGGGCUGCAAGCACACCUGACCUUGGCCUUGGAGAGAGUCAUCUUUAUGGUACGGGAUAGUACAAACCGCCCUUUUCUCUAAAGGGAGGUGCUAUCUCUCUUUUCCGAGCUGUCUGCAGCACAAGCAUCCUUGAGAAGGUGUUGCCUCUGCUGGCAGGGGUACAGAGAUGUGAGAGACCACGGAGAGCCGUCCCCCUGCAGAGGGCAGAGCUCACGAAAACGCUGGGCGCUGCUCUGGCCCGUCAAACCAGGGGCCACUCUCAGCUGCCAGCCACAGAAAUGAAGCCACUGGGGCUGCAUCAGCCCAGCGGAACUGGUGCCGUUUUCAGUAACACUGAAGAGUCAUACAGGCUAGCGGCAGUCCUGUGACAAAGCACCUUCUUUAUUGCUUUCCAGCAUCUUGGAAUUCCAUUCUGGAAUUUGUCUUGGCUUGCUCCUGCCUGGAGAAUGAGAUAAAGCACUGUUUAAAUCUGACAUAGACGUGAUGGGACAGAGUUGUCUCCGGGAGAUGCUUGAGUAUUCUGGUAGAAAAUCAUCAUUUUAAAGAUGACUUUUGUUUAGGAAACUCCAAGAUUAAGACAGACACUGUAUAAGGAGGGAGGGUGAGUGUCCACAAAAGGAAAUAACUGGGGGAGUGUUUGCGGGGGGCAGUGGCUACAAGUAGAAAUGGUGCUUAUCUCUGCUGUCUGUAAACAUUCAGAACCUGGGGUAUCUUCCUGGGGAGGUCAUCGGGCACGAGAGCAGAGGCUGACUGCCGAACUCUUCCGGACGCCACAAGUCCUACACCUCAUCAAUCACGAAGGCUGGUCUCAUGUUCUUUCCUUUCCCAUCCCCGUGGCCCCUACCCAAUCCAGACCAUCUCAGACCACCACUGCAUCAUUUCUUCAGCCUUCUGGUAGGUUUCCCUGCAUCCAAUCCACACCUCUGCCUUGGAGAUCUUUCUAAAAUGCAAUUCUGAUCUUGUCAUUCCCCGUCUUAGAACUUUUCAGUGACCUCCUCUUGCCGUAAGGAUAAAGCUCUAACUGAAAAGGGCUCAUGAGACCUUCCCUCUUGUGUGACUCCUCCCCCCACCACCUCAUUCGGACUGUCUCUCCCCCUCAUCCUCUUUGUUUCAGCCACAAUACAAGUGUUCCCUUGGGCAAGGACGCCUUCUCCGCCAUUCUUGGGAAAUUUAUGUUUUUCAGAAUCCCAAGAAAAAUCAGUCGGGGAAUCAGGAAAUGAUCAUCUUACAAGAAUUAAGGCUUAACCAUCAACAUAGGAAUGUUACCAGUUUGGAAGCAUCCACUACUACCAAGGGGAAAGUGAGAGCAGGAAACGCUGACAUGUAGAAUCCAAAGUCAGAGUCACAUCGCUGGGGACCAGGACGAGAGAGAGAAGGGGAGACACGGUGGAAAUCGAUCGGUCUUGCUGGCAGCUGUGGCCAUGUGAAAAGUGUGCUUAUGGCUCUAUCUCCUAACAGUUGAUUAAUUCUUACAAAUUAAAAAAAUUAAUUACUUUAUAUACACAGUAUACCUAACACAAAUCUUACGAGUUGCUUUCCGAGAAAUAACGAGGCAAAACAACAGAGGUCCCUGACGUGCCUCCCCAUCCUUCAUGUCUGGUUAAGGUCUGUUCCUCCAGGAAGUCACCUUGACCUUUAAACCUGGGUUCCUUGCCCCUCCAGUGUGCUCCUUACUGCUCUCGUAGUAUUUACAUCAAGGGGAGGAUGAUUAUUUGCUAGUCCCCAGAAGAACCACGCCUCCUGGUUUGCAUAACCUUACGUGGCCCCUCCCACACUGACUGUGGGCGUGGUCGUGUGACUUGCUUUGGCUGUCGGGACAUGAGUCAGAGUGAUACAGGCAAAUAAUUGAUAGGACCUCUGUCCUGGAGCUUGUUUCCUUGGAACCCUCCUUCUUGGAAGGCAGUCACCACACCCUCAAGCAGCCCAGGCUAGUCUACUGAAUGACGCGAGACCCUGGGGGAUGAUGGGCCAUCUUGGACCUUCCAGCCCCGCACUCCACCCCACCCCCAGGCUCCCAGCUGAAUGCAGCUGCUCCAGAAUGUGAAGCAGAAGAACUGCCCAGCUGAGCCCCGUCCACCCAGAGACUUGUGAGAAACAAAAAGCAUCUUUUUUAAAACUCCAGAGUUUUAGGAUGGUAUUUGACACAGCAAUAGAUAACCCAAACAUGCUGUGUUGUCAUUACCUGUUACUUCUCUCUUUGCAGAUAAACUGUGAGUUCUAGGAAGAUAAGUUCAGGCCUGCCUUGUUUUAAGUAGAGGCUCAAUAUAUACUAUUGGAAGGACUGUUCCCUAGCCUCAGGUUGGUUCAGACCCCGCAGCAGUGCCAACUCAAGCUCAGCUGCAUCGAACAGGGUGUGAUUAAGCAUUUUGUUUCCACUUGCACCAAAGUCAUUAAAGAGUACAAUCUAUGACUUUCUGUAUCUCCCGCUGAAACUAAGUUAUGACAUCAAGUGAAAAAGCAGGAUUACUUUAGGACAUUGCUACUUUGUUGGGCUUUCUUGCUGUUCUUUGGAAGCAAGUUUAGACUGACAACUCUUCUUAGAACUUUGCUUGGAAAACACCUCUACUUCCAAACAUCCAGAAGAUCUGGGGGGAGGAGAAUGGAAGGUGGUGAAAGGAGAAAAAAAUAGUUUGGACUGAAUCCAGGCUAAAUUUUUUAAUCAAGUCAGCCUCUGACUCAGCACCGGGUGUGAGGCAAUCACCGCUUCUUUUGAGCUCCUGGGAGGUUUUUAUCUUGACCAUCUGGCAAUUAAUCACGGCGCACCCUGUGAUCUCUUCCUUUGUCUUCUUUGCAUUGGCUCCUGCCGUUUCAUUUUUCACAGGUUUGUGCCCGACCUCUUCACUGACUUCCCACAGAGUCCAGCAUAUUGUAAGCACUCAAUAAAUAGGUCCCAGGGGAUGGUUUUGCUCCAAGCAAUCCUACCAAAAACUGGAUGGGAAGGACUUUGAACAGCCCAAGGUAAGAUUGCAAAGAUCCACCAGGGCUGGAGCGCACUGGUGUUCAGAGGGGGUGAGCGUCAGCCUGGCGCUGGGAGAAUUGUACCUGAUUUGUAUCUUGGUCUUUGGAGACAUCCAACCCCAAACCCGAGGCUUUCUCAGCCUUAGGCUGAGGGAUGGAUGAUUCAUUGUCUCUCUCUGCCUCUGUGUCUCUUUCUGUCUCUUUCUCUCUUAUCUGUGAAUCUAUGAAUCAUUUUCUAUGCCUUCACCGAGGUUAGAAAAAGAUGAGGAUUUCAGUCAAACAGAGUCUGUCCUGCUGGCUAGAGAUACCAACCUGGGUAAUAGGGUCUCGGGGCAGCAGGAGUCUCUUUCCAAGGACGUCUUCAGAGAAGAGAGAACUUCUCUGCUGGCUGGCAUGAUGUCUGUCUGCAUCCAAUUCUUGAUUCCUCACUAUCUGAUGAUACCACGUGUCUCAGGAAUGGACCUGGACCCACAUUAUUCUGAGAAGCAGCAGCAAAAGCAGCGUCUCUCCCCCAAUAUAUAGUCUGUCUUUAAAAAUGACCAAAACAUCCAUGAUUCUAAAGGAAACUCAGGAAAUAAACCUG